AGAUUAGCAGGUCAAGUCUUAUCUCUUCUUUCACUUCAUCUAAUUAAAUCUUCUAAAAUUAUUAGGUCCCUAAAAAAUAAAAUAGUUAUGGUGAUAACUAGAUCAUAGCCUCCCAUUAAAUUGGAUGAUAAUGGGUCCAAUAGUUUAGAUAAUUAUUGGAGGUGCCAUAUGCCUGGUGCUCAUCUGACUGUCGGAAUUAUCAUUCAUAAUAUGUUGAUUUAGUUGUAUCUUUUUAAUGAUGGUCAGGUUGGUUGAGCCACACUCGAAUCUAGUCACUUGUUUGUCAGAUGUAUUAAAUUCUGAAUGUUAAUGGUUGGAUCUAAUCAGAAAUUUUAGUAGAGGUGCCACAUGCCUGCUGAAGAGGUGUCUAAGGCAAAAUUAAUUACUGAAAAUUAUUUGAUGAAAUAAUUGGUUAAAAAUCUAUCCAUGGGUGCA
rnacentral:lncRNA from 1 species